rnacentral:lncRNA from 1 species
UUUUUUUUUUUUUUUGAGAUGGAGUCUCACUCUUUCGCCCAGGCUGGAGUACAGUGAUGCCAUCUCGGCUCUCUGCAGCCUCUACCUCCCAGGUGCAAGCAAUUCUCCUGCCUCAGCCUCCCAAGUAGCUAAGGUUACAGAUGUGGGCUACCAAGCCCAGAAAUUUUUGUAUUUUUAGUAGAGAUGGGGUUUCUCCAGGUUGGCCAGACUGGUCUUAAACUCCUGGCCUCAAGUGAUCCGUCUACCUGGGCCUCCCAAAGUGCUAGGAUUACAGGUGUGAGCCACUGAGCCCAGCCUCAAAAUGCAUAUUCUUAUUCUUCAUUAUGUACCUCUGUGACUAAUUAGUGUUUACUUAGAAAGUAGAUGACUGGAUUAAAGUGUAUUAACAUUUUUAUGACUCUAAAUUCAUAUUGUUAAUAUAACUUUCAGAAAAUUUAUGUUUACCUCUGUUUGACUUUAUAAAGUUAAAUAAAUCACUAGCAUUUGUAUUUUACUGCUUUCUUUCAACUCACAUGGCAGUAUCUUAAACCUACCUCUAUGAAAUUAGUUGUAAAUUUGGUAAAUCAAAGUUUACCAAAUAUAUCAUUUCUAUCUAAUUUUUUGCAAUCUUGUACUUAAACACAUACCUUUAGGCAGCUAGUAUACAUGUUUUUGAUAAAUCCAUCUCUGUUAUAAAAGUUCCCAAAUUAACACACGUGGCCUCUUGUGCCACAAUUUAGCUUUAUGCUAAAAUUUUAUUGUGUCCGUCCUUUUAUAUUAUGCUCCUCUCUAAACUACAUAAUCUGCUUAAGAAAAUAAGCCCCUUGGCGGGGUGUGGUGGCUCAUGCCUGUAAUCCCAGGACUUUGGGAGGCUGAGGCGGGCAAAUCACAAGGUCAGGAGUUUGAGACCAGCCUGACUAACAUGAUGAAACCCCGUCUCUGCUAAAAAUACAAAAACUAGCCGGGUGUGGUGGUGCGGUGCCUGUAAUCCCAGCUACUCAGGAGACUGAGGCAGGAGAAUCACUUGAACCCAGGAGGCGGAGGUUGCAGUGAGCCUAGAUCACACCACUGCAUUCCAGCCUGGGCAACAGAGUGAGACAUUUUCUCAAAAACAACAACAAAAAAAAAGAAAAAAGAAAAAGAAAAAGAAUAAGCCCCUUGCCUUGAAUACCAUGGGAGUGCCUUAAAUCUAUCUCUAUGAAAUUAAUGGUAAAUAUUUGGAAACCCAUGAAGUAAUCAACAGACACACAAAGAAAUUAUCAAGAGAACGAACUUAACUUUUUUCAAAUCCUAAAACAAUCCUGUGAAGUAGAAAAGGUAUCUACUUCAUCUUUUGAAGAAGAAAAUGAAGGCUGGGAGAUGAGGUCAUUUACCCAGUGUCACAACGGCUACUACCGUAUCAGAGUUAGCUGUGAUUCACACCCAGACAGGGUUACUAGAUUUGGCAACUAAAAGUACAGUAUAAGUAUAUAUCAAAUAUUGCAUGAGACAAACUCAUUUAAAAAAAAUUUUUUUUUUAAAUCUGAAAUUCAAAUUUAAGUGGCUAUUCUGUUUUUUAUCUGAUACCUCUAUGUCUAGGCCUGUCUGACUUCAGAGCACCACAGUACUUUUGGCAUCUGGAAGGUAAAAACAUGGAAAAUUAGUCAAGUCGCCUAUUUCAGCAAAUUGCCUCUAACAGCGAUAGCAAAUAAUUCUUGUAUAGAAAAACAUUUUUCAUCAACUGUUAUUCAAUUUCUUCAUCUUUGCAUUUAAUGCACCUGUAAACUCUUAGCACUUUACCUGCAUAAAAAUGAGAAAUUUGAUAAUGCCCACUAUUAUUUUUUAUAAUAUUCUUGUCCCGUGAGGCCCAGUGUGGUGACUCAUGCCUGUAGUCCCAGCACUUUGGGAGGUGGAGGCGGGUGGAUCACGUAAAGUCAGGAGUUUGAGACCAGCCUGGCCAACAUGGUGAAACCCCAUCUCUACUAAAAAUACAAAAACUAGGCAGGCAUGGUGGCACAUGCCUGUAAUCCCAGCUACUCGGGAGGCUGAGGCAGGAGAAUAGCUUGAACCCAGGAGGCAGAGGUUGCAGUGAGCCAAGAUAGUGCUACUGCCGCACUCCAGCCUGGGCAAGGCAUUGAGACUCCGUCUCAAAUAAACAAACAAACAAAAUACAUACAUACACACACACACACACACAUAUAUAUAUAUAUAUAAUAUAUAUAAUUGUCCCUCACAUCUAAGAAAUGUUUUUUAAUCACCCAAUUUGGAUCUAGCAUUCAUGAAAGUACUUAGACCAGACCUCUGUGGAUCUCCUUCAUAUUUUCAACUUGAUAUUGCUUCUUGGGGAGUUAAGGUCUUCAGAAAAUGACUGCCUGUUGUUGAAUGUGGAAGACCUUUUUGCUCUUACAUUCAGUGUUCACUUUACUUCAGCCUCUCUAAUGCCAACUGUUGUUAUCCACUUUGGGGGAGUUUUCUGCGAUAUCUCGCUGGCCUUAAAUAUAUGGGUUUUGUAGUCCCAGAACUGAGUUUGAAUCUCAGCUCCGCUGUUCACUAGCUCUGCGAUUUGGAGCAUGAUAAUGAACUGCUGGGCCUCAGUUGCAGUUUUCAUGGAAUGAGCAUAAUAAUAUCUAGUAGGUUUGUUGUGAGGAUUAAAAUGAGACAGAGUAAUAUGAAGCAUUAUUACUGUUCCUAAAGCAUUGUAAAUACUUGAGAAAAGGCUAUCAUAAUUUUAAAAAGACAAAUAUCAAAGUUAAACUUCAUUUUACAAUAAUUGCAUUGUCAUAAAUUUACAUGGUUUCUUUUUAGAAGUGGAAGAUAUAUUUUCUGGUUAGAAAAUAUACCAGGGUUAAUUAGAGCAAUCUUCUUGCAGUCCUACUUACCUCAUACACAGAUGAUGUAAUUAUAAUGAACAUAUCUAUAAAGAAAUCAAAAUGACAAGAUCCAGAAUUCACUCCCAUAGGUAGCCAUGAAUAUUCAUUUUCUUCAUUGUUUUCCUGUUACUUGAAACUUUCUUAAAUGAUUUUAAUGAAUUAAAUAAAACAGGGCAAUGAUUCUAGUGAACCUUUCUUCCUCCAGCCAACUUAAAUCUCGGUCAAUAUCAUGAAACUUAUAGAACUUGUUAUUAUAAAACAGCUCUUCCACAAUGAAUCUCUCUCUCUCCAUAUUCCAAAUAACUGAUUUGCUUUAUCUCAAAAAUAAAGCAAAUUAUUGCCUUCUUUACCAGCUCUCACACUUCCUUGAUCUCUCUUCCCCACCCCCCCAAAAAAACCAUAUUUAAGAAUGAACUGAAUAUUACAGAUUCCUGGGAUCAUGUGUAUUAGUUGUGUGGUCUUGAAAAAAUUACUUAGCUUUUUUAAGGUUCAAUUUCCUUAUUUGUAAAAUAAAAAUAAUAACACCUAUCUCAUUAGGUUUUUAUGAGACUUAAAUGGAUUUAGCAUUUCACACACUGUCAGUAUAUAAAGAGGACACUUAAUAAUUGUGCUUUCUCUCCCUUUUCCUUCCUUCUAAAGUGUGGAGCACCUAAACUGGAGCUUUGCAGCAUAUUGCUGAGGGCUUAACUGUACCCAAUAUGCUGCAAUGGGAGUUUUCGUAAGCAGAUAUCUGUGGCUGUUAAGUAACUAACUUGUGCCAGGUGCAUUCACUCACGCUUGUAAUCACUUUCGGAGGCAGAGGUGGGUGGAUCACUUGAGGUCAGGAAUUCGAGACCAGCCUGGUCACUAUGGUGAAACCCCAUCUCUACUAAAAUACAAAAAUGAACCAGGCAUGAUGCUGCAUGCCCAUAAUCCCAGCUAUUUGGGAGGCUGAGGCAGGAGAAUGGCUUAAACCCAGGAGGCGGAAUUGCAGUAAGCCGAGAUUGCACCACUGCCAGCCUGGGUGACAGAGUGAGACUCUGUUUAAAAAAAAAAAAAAAGACACACAAAGCUAUUUUUAUACCUUGUUUCUAAGUAAUGUAUUAUAUAAUUCUAGCAAAAUAUAACCAGGUGAAGUAAUUUCAAUUUAUUUUCAAUUUUCAUUCAGUAUUUUCAUUUUUAAUGAAAAUCUGUUUUCAUGUGUGUAGAGUGUUUAAUAAUGCAAAAUAAUAAUCCUUCAUAAAGGCGUAAAAUUUGCUCAAAUGUUUGUACUUUCAUUUCACAUAUAAUUCUUGAGUAUCUACGGUGUGCUGGGCACUCUUCUGCGAGGCACAAACAAAAGUUCCUUCCUCAGAGACUCCACGGAGGCAGGAUACAGGCAAACAAAAAAAAAAAAAGAGAGAAAGAGAUGAUUACAAAACAGUGUGAUAAAGGGCUGAGCGAUUACAUACAAGGAGCCCAAAUUGGGGGAGGAAAGGAACUGAACUGGAAGGCUUUAGGAAGAUUAUCUUUUUGCUGAAAUUGAAAGUAGGUAGGAAUUUCAUGUGCAUAUAUAAAACUUACAUACUACAAUAUUUUUCUGACUUAUCCAAGUUUAAAAGGGUAAGAGUAUUGUGUUGUGUUGAGUUGUGUUGUGUUGUGUUUUCCCCUCCAAAGCAUGAUUAGCUUGACCCUGUCUACCUAUCACUGGAUUUCUUUUCCUGGUACCUGCAGUAACCUUGACUGAUAAAAGGAACAUAGCUGCAUUGGAUUAUCUAUUUAAUAGGCUACUUUUAAUCUUGUUCCCUGUCUUGCUUUGUCAGCUCCCUCUAAAUCUUUAUAAUCCUAUUUAAACUACCUCUAACUAUAGAUGCUCAUUUGCAUGACACUGAUUCUCUGUAUUUUUAUUUCAAAAAUUAUAUGAUUUGAGGGAUUCUGGCUCUUGAUCCUAAGUUAUUAAAUAUUUGAUAGCCUGUCUUCCUACACACCAAGAUCUUCAGCCGGAGUGCUCAAUGAUGUCUCCUUCAUGUUUAUAACCAUAAUCAUUAAAUGUCAUGUAAUU